GACUACGGCCAUGCCACUCUGAACAAGCCCGAUCCCGUCUGAUCUCAGAAGCUAAGCAGGAUUGGGCCUGGUUAGUACUUGGAUGGGAGACCACCUAGGAAGACCAGGUGCUGUAGGCG
rnacentral:rRNA from 1 species